AUUCCUUUCUUCUUCCUCCUUAAGGUCUAAACGUUUAUUGAACGGAGGCUCAAAACCGAGUUACUGAACUAGGCUUUCAGUAGUAGACACGUGUCAUGUUUAAGAUUUAUUUUAUUCAUUUCCAUCCAUUGUGCCAAAGGACCUGCUCCAGGAAAAUGCUCCCCUGUUGAUAGGUGCGGGAGAGUAAAAGGGAGACGAUGAAGCUAAAUUAAAACUGAAGUCCUUUGUGCUCAGGGAAUAUGACCUUAGAGUGGGAGAGGGGCGGGGAGUGAGUAGAAAAGUCGGCGAAGCAAAAAUAAGGAAGGUUGGGGCCCUGUAACCUAGCAUCCUGAAAUAUCAGCGUAGGUAAGGUAGCAGGCAAGGCACGAAUGCACUCAAAGCCCAGGUGUACUUCCCUCAUCAAAUGCUGGCUCCCGAAGGGUACUGAGGGGAGGGGUCACGCGGGGGGAGGGGGGGUGUCCCUGGAUGGUUUUUUCCUCUUUAGGGACCUGCUUGCCGGAUGAUUCCGUCUCCCACUUGCUUCUCUUCGGCUCCUUCUUUCCCAUCUGCCAGGGGAGCUUAAAGACAUCUCUGCCGCCCAGUUACAAAAAGUGGCAACUUCCCCUCCGGCCCGCAGACUGAUCGCUCAUUUGAAUGCGUUUCCUUUUCAUUAAGAACAAAGGUUGGAGUCCGAGCCUCGCGGCGCGGCGGCCGGAAAGUACAAGAUGUGUGUCGAGAGCAAACACACACACACACACACACACACACACACAGAAUGACCCACGAGAAAGGGAAAGGGGAAAACACCAAUCCUGCGCUGGGCUUUUUCGACUUUUCCUUUAAAAAGAAAAAAGUUUUUCAAGCUGCGCGGGCUUCCUGUGCGCGGCUGAGCCGGGGCGCAGCGCGACGGUCCCAUCGGGCGGCCUCCACCCUCGGGACGCGAGCGGAGCGCCGAGCCCAGCGGCGAUCACGCGACGCGGGGAAGGAAGGAAGAUCUCUCCUUUCAAAGAUAACUAGCCAAAUGAACAUAAUAAACAAGUCCAAGCAGUUGGAGGGGCGGCCGCCACCCCACCGUCUCCAAAUAACUGAUUCGCAUUUCCGAGACGGUUCACCUGAAGCCUUGCCUGCCACCUUGGUUCUCCCACCUGAAGGAGAUGGUUCUAAUGGUGGUGCAAACCAGGAAGGGGAAAUCUGUGGUUUACGUUCUCUGUGCCUCAUCCCUCUCGGAGAGCUGGAGGCUUGCUGGAGGCUAUAUGCUGUUAAUGCUAAUUGUGAUAGGGGUUUUUACCUCCGUCUGACUCCUACAUGUUAGCAUUAACAGGGUAUGAUGCCUGUUACUAGCAUUCACAUGGAACAAACUGCUGCUGUGGGAGGAUGACAAAGAAGUGUGAGUCACCCUGCUGGAUAAACUCAGACUUUAAGCUUUAUUAUUUUUUGUUAAUCAUAAUCUGGUCACUGGGAUGUUCCACCUGAUAGUAAGUCUUUAAGAAUAAGGUCUUGUAAAAGAUUUAUCAACGGUAUCCUGAAAGCAAACUUUUUUACUUUAAUCCUUAAGCCCACAUUUUUUUUAAAAAAAUCUUUAAUGGAAAAUGUAUUCCUGUCCUUUUUAAUUCACAGUUAUGGUUUGUUCAUUAUAACUGUUUAUAAACACUUUGAAUAAUUUAACUAGAAAGAAAUAUAAACACAUUCUGAGUAUCUUUGCAGUUAAAAAUUAGGACUACUAUCCACUAAUUAAUCAUGGAUUGUUGGGAAAUAUGUUCAAAAAGAUUUAGAAAUUGGUAUUUCCCCCAUGUAACAAUUCUAUUUAGACAACUUCAGUUUCAAAUGGAUACUUUUAUAUGAAUCUUAAAGUAGACUUGAAAGGCUAUGGCAAUUAGUUUUUAAAAAAUGAAAGAUUUCAUUCUUUUUUAUGGCUGAGUAGUAUUCCAUUGCAUAUAUAUACCACAUAUCCUUAAUCCACCCAUUCGUCUGUCGCUGGACAUUUAGGCUGUUUCCAUUUGCAGCAACAUGGAUGCAAAUAGAGAUUCUCAUACUAAAUGAAGUUAAGUCAGAAAGAUAAAGACAAAUUCCAUAUGAUAUCAGUUAUAUGUGGACUCAAAAAUAUGGCACAAAUGAACCUAUCUACAAAACAGAAACAGACCCACAGACAUAGAGAAUAGACUUGUGGUUGCCAAGGGGGAGGGAAGAGGGAGUGGGAUGGAUGGGCAGUUUGGGGUUAGUAGAUACAGACUAUUACAUUUAGAUUAGAUGGGCAAUGAGGUCCUACUAUUCAGCACGGGGAACUAUAUCCAGUCUCUUGGGAUAGACCAUGAUGGAAGAUAAUAUAAGACAAGGAAUGAAUAUAUACAUAUGACUGGGUCACCUUGCUGCAAUAGCAGAACUUGCCACAACGUUGUACAUCAACUAUACGUUAAUAAAAAAAUCAAAAAGAUUUUUUAAACUUAGUACAGUUAAUGACAUGUGAGAACCAAUCCAUCUUUUCCCUACAAGAUAACAAAGAUUUGAUCAAAAAAAAUCUCUUAUUUGAAAUUAAGUCCCAAAACUAUGUUCAAAUUCAAUAGCUUAGCCGUUAGGUCAGAAAAUCCACCUCUCCUCUUCUCAGCUUGUUUAUUGUCCCACAGAAUGGGCUAAUACUUAACAGAGUUGGUAUGAGGCUUACGUGAGAUGGAGAACUAUUUUGUAAAAUAUGAAGUAUCAAUGUUAAUAUAUUAAUAAUAUAUUAACGUUAUAGUCAAAUUAAUCCCCCCUCUUUGUUAGAGAAAAACUAAUGAUUUGAUCCACAGAAUUUUUCAGGUCUGGAUUUCUAUGCCAUUUUUCUCCAGAGUUAUAGAACUGUACCACUUACAAAUACAUAGCUAAUUGUAAUCAGCAUCUUUAAUGUGUGUUUGUGUUAGCAACUCUUCUCAAUGUUUUGUCAAACAAGUUAUGUGCACUGAAACCAAAUAAAUCACUUGAGUGGUUGAUUUAAAAUAAUUUUUUGUUAUGGCCUUUUUUCUUUUGCAUCAUACAAAUUAUAAUUUCAGAAGUUAUUUACACACACACACACACACAAAGACAAUGGGAAAAAAUUAUGAGACCUCUAAGGGGAACAUUGCUGACUCUUAGGACACAGUAUUCUCAUGUGGGGGCAUCCCCCCCCCGGCCUAUCCCCCAUCUCUGUUCAGGUGGUCUGUGCUGCCAAAAUAAAUUCCUCCUCUUGACCCUGGAAGGAACACGUGGCUCCAGAGAGCCUCCAUGUAGGUACAUCACAAUAAGGCAUGUUUCCUGGGACUAUUCAUUUCAUCUGCACUGCUUGUCUUCUAGAGGAGUCCUUACUCUGAGUCCCAGUUCUUCCACACCCUGCUUGCAGCACCUACAGCCACGGAGUCUCAGUGUGUUAGCCCUGGAAUACGCUAAUCCAGUAUUACCUUCCUGCUGUUACAAUGAAAAGCUAUGUACAUCGAAAAGGCAGAUUAAGAAAAACUGCUGUGAAAUGAUUUGUUUGAAGAGCGACAGACCACUCUAUAUGAAACUAAAGGGAGUUUUACUUAAUCUAAGUCUCAGUUUCUUCAUCAGUAAAACAAUGAAUGUAUUUCAUAAGGAUGGCAGGCUGAAAUGAAAACAGUAUUUCUGAAAAGCAUGGUGUCUGCUCUGCAAUAAGUGUUAAGUAAACACUAGCUUUAAAAGUUUUAAAUUUCUAAAUCAAGUGACCUACCCUACCCUAGCAGAUCUCUCCAAGGACACAGCAGCUCCAAUCUAACCAUAAUCCCAGGAUGACAACCCAGGGAACCUGAAUAAUGCCACUGUCACUGGGUUUUCUCUUAGCCCAACUCUCUUAGGCCUCUAGUGCCUGACCUCAUGGUCUUAGACGGAGUCCUCCUGACCAAUAUAUUUAGUCAUUUCAAACAUUCUUGGAACAUGAGUAAGACUGGGGGUGUGUUUGGGUUGGAGGAAGAGGUAAGUGGCAAGGAAGUGAGUGUGUGUGUUGAAGUGACAAACUAAGAGUGGCUAAAGGGAACGUGGGCUCUGGGAUAGAUGGUGAAGGGAAAAGGACCUCAGUUUGGUACACAGAAUAACAGAACUGUGUGAAGCACUACAUUAUGCAGGACCUGAUUUAUUUAAUUACAAAAAAAAAACCCUGAAGAAUGAGGGUUGUCUAGGAUCUGACUCACUUCCCCAGAAAGUUGUUACAGUAGAGAUCAGGCUUUUCUUCUUCACUGUCACCAGCUGGAUAGACCCAGAAACUUAAAACAAAGGGGGGAAAAAGAGAAGAAUAAGGAAAAAAGUGAAAUGAGGAGAAUAAGGAACUUAUAUAAAACUGGAGUAUUAGAAUUUUUCCAAAAAUGGAGAUGACCAGGACUUUGUUCGAAGGUUAGGAAACUUGAAGAAUAAAAAAAGCUUGAAGGAAAUAGAGAGCCCAUAAAUGCGAAGCACUCAAAAAAGGCUGACCCAUUAUGUGGUUCUCCAGAAAACUGAAACGAAUAGAUGAAAUCUGCAUGUAACAGUUCAGCUUUCCACUUAGGAUUUCAUAUUUUGUCAUAUGCAAUACGGAGAAGGAAAUAAUGCAUACGUAAAAGAUUUGUUGUUGUUGUUGUUACUAUUGUGUUUUAACUAAUCUAAGAGUUCCAGUAUUAGUCUUCAACCGGCUAACACAUAUACAUCCCUAACCACUUAAGUAAUGAUUUUUCUAGGUGGAUUUCUCAAAUGUCAUUCCAUGCCAACGAUGUCUUCCCUAGGUUGGAUCACUCUUCCACCCUUCUUUGCACAGCUCAGCGAUUUCUCGGGUCACUAGCAUUUAACACACUGUAUCCCACUUUGUUUUCAUAUGGGAAUGACUGAACUAGAGCAGGUGGUACCCUAGGGCCCAUCCACCUUUUCGCCUACCCAUAUCCUGCUCACUGUUCACCAACUUAAUCACCAUUAUCAUUCCAAGGCGAAACCUAAAAACAGAACUCGGCUUAAAUAUACCAUGACCCAGGAACUUCCACAUGGCACAAGCUGGGCCAAAUAGAUAAAUAAAUAAUGAUGAAUACAGUGAACAUUUCACUUUAUACUGACAGGUUCAAAGAGAUGAUCUGGAGGAUAUAAAAGUUCAUUACAGCAAAUAAAUGACUGGAACAUGCUACAUAUAAAUGAUGAGCUAGGGCUGCAAUUAUCUCCUCAGAAACCUGUCAAGGUGCAGGCUCCCAGGCUCCCACCCCCAAGAUUCUGAUUCUGCAAUGAGGCUGAGGAAAGUACCUUUUUACCAAG
rnacentral:lncRNA from 1 species